rnacentral:rRNA from 1 species
AGCAGCCGCGGUAAUUCCAGCUCCAAUAGCGUAUAUUAAAGUUGUUGCAGUUAAAAAGCUCGUAGUUGAAUUUCGGGAUUUAUCCGUCGGUCGGGCUUUCGGGUCUGUACUGGCGUGAUGGAUUCCUACCUUCUGAAUAACCGGCAUGUCAUUAAUUUGGUGCGCCGGGGAAGCAGGACUGUUACCUUGAAAAAAUUAGAGUGCUUAAAGCAGGCUUAUGCCUGAAUACAUUAGCAUGGAAUAAUGAAAUAGGACGGCAUGGUUCUAUUUUGUUGGUUUCUAGGAUCACCGUAAUGAUUAAUAGGGAUAGUUGGGGCAUUAGUAUUCAAUUGUCAGAGGUGAAAUUCUUGGAUUUAUUGAAGACUAACUUCUGCGAAAGCAUUUGCCAAGGAUGUUUUCAUUAAUCAAGAACGAAAGUUAGGGGAUCGAAGACGAUCAGAUACCGUCGUA